CAUAUCUCGAAUAACAUAAUAGUUAUGAUUUUUUUCAAUCAGAUGAUUCUUUUUGAUACACCCUGUACUACAACCCCCCUACAUAUUGCUCACAUAGGGAUCAUGAAGGAUGAGGAGGAUGUGCAGUAGAUGAGGAUGUACAGCAGGCAGUUGUGGACUUCUUCACACAGCAGGACAUGGUGUUUUACCAAACAGGUUGAAGCUCCUCACUGGCAUAUGCAGAACUGAAGCCUCACAAUCUGAAACUGCUUUUGUUGUAAGCCAUGUAGUUCAAUGAUGAACACAAAAUAGUUCAGUUUAAUUUUUCAUGAAUUCACAUUUACUUAUAUCAAAUAUUUUCAUUGCAGUGUUGAUCAGUCUCUAUCAAUUGAAAGUUCUUUGUAUAUUAUCCUACUGGCAUAUGUGCCAAAAACUGUCCUACUAACUUUAAUCGAAAAAAAUGUAUUAAGCAAUCAAGUAAAGUGACCUUACUCAAUGUUAUAAACAACAAUGACACUUAGUGGUAGCUCAUCUACACAGUCCAUUCUUGUUACCUAUAAUCAGCUCACUAC